rnacentral:SRP_RNA from 1 species
GCCGGGCAUGGUGGUGCACGCCUGUAAUCCAAGCUACUCAGGAGGCUGAGGCAGGAGAGUCGCUUGAACCCAGGAGGCGGAGGCUGCAGUGAACCGAGAUCACACCACUGCACUCUGGCCUGGGCGACAAAGCGAGACUCUGUCUCAA